UUUGUCCUGCUUCUCUCCAGUGACUCAGCGAAGUAUAAUCACUGCUGCGAGCUGGGAAACUGCUACUCUGUGGGCUCCGGCACCGCCUACUAAAGUGGUUUGUCCAAGCUCUUCUGAUCUUUUAUAAUCUAGCACAAAGUUAAGGACAAGAGAAUCGGUACUGAUAGCUAUUUUUCCCCCCACAUUAAACUUCACAGAUAGUCUUACGCUUAGUACAAAUGAACUGAAUAGAUUUGAUGCUAAAAAAAAUCAAUGGUGUUUGUGCACAGAUAAAAAGCCAGGAACAUUUUUACUUUUCUUCCAGAGGCAGGAUCACUUCUUCAACAAGAGAUCCAAUUAUGGUCUGAAUGUAUGCAUCUGGAGCCUUACUAAUAUGAUUAUGAUACAGAAAUCAUCUACACUUAGAGCUGGAAAAUGCUUGUUUUCCAUAUAUUGCAGUAGCCCUACUAUAACCAUUAUGUACACUGGCUUCCCACCUAGGGAGAAACAACCAAUACAACUAUUCUUGCUGUCCACAUGGAUAGUUUUACAGUCAGGGCAGUGUCAGUGCAUUUUUGGUGAGUGCAAUCCGUAGCAACCCAGGAAGUCAAAAGACCAGGAACUCAGAUGGCUGAGGAUGAGAGCGUCUCAUUUGCAGUCCAGCUGCUGUGAGCUGCAGAGAUGAGGAGUUCUGAUCAAGUCAGGAGAAAGCUGCCAAAUGCAACGACACUUCAACGGGCACAGAGUAUCCUUUGGAGGAAUUCCUGUUUCUGCUUGAUCACAAAACAUCCAUCAAACUCUAAUCACCUCUCCUUGCUGCACAAGUAGGAGCUCUUCUUGGUUAGGGAACUGAAGGAAGACUGAAGGUAUGAAGAGAAUUUAAAGGAAAUGACCACCAGUUCCCUUCUCUUACUCUGCCACUGAUUUGUGAGGACCAUCAUGAAAGUAGCACUUGAAGUUGCAUAUACAUUAUAUAUAUUCCCAACAUUUUCUGAAAUAUGCCCUUGUUUUAAUUAAAAUGUAAAGUCUGUAUACUGAAGGACUCACUUGUCUGACAGGAGCAAUUGCCAUGUGCAACUGUCCCACCAUGGAUAUCAAGUGUCAGCUGAAAAAAUACUUUGCUUUGUCCUUGUAUAGGAAUUUCUGCAAUUUUAUUACAAUUGCAAACACUACUUAGUAGUAGAGGGCAACAUUAUGUCUCAUAUAUAUAAUUUGCAAAAAAAUAUAACCAGGGCA